GUAGUCAUAUGCUUGUCUCAAAGAUUAAGCCAUGCAUGUCUAAGUAUAAGCAAUUAUACAGCGAAACUGCGAAUGGCUCAUUAUAUAAGUUAUCGUUUAUUUGAUAGUACCUUACUACUUGGAUAACCGUGGUAAUUCUAGAGCUAAUACAUGCUAAAAAUCCCGACUUCGGAAGGGAUGUAUUUAUUAGAUUAAAAACCAAUGCCCUCCGGGGCUCACUGGUGAUUCAUGAUAACUUCUCGAAUCGCACGGCCUUGCGCCGGCGAUGGUUCAUUCAAAUUUCUUCCCUAUCAACUUUCGAUGUUUGGGUAUUGGCCAAACAUGGUUGCAACGGGUAACGGGGAAUA
rnacentral:rRNA from 1 species